CACGUAGGGCGCAAGCGUUGUCCGGAAUUAUUGGGCGUAAAGAGCGUGUAGGCGGCCUUACAGGUCAGCUGUGAAAACUCGAGGCUCAACCUCGAGACGUCGGUUGAAACCGUAAGGCUAGAGUCCGGAAGAGGAGAGUGGAAUUCCCGGUGUAGCGGUGAAAUGCGCAGAUAUCGGGAAGAACACCCGUGGCGAAGGCGGCUCUCUGGGACGGUACUGACGCUGAGACGCGAAAGCGUGGGGAGCGAACAGG
rnacentral:rRNA from 1 species